rnacentral:rRNA from 1 species
UACGUAGGGACCAAGCGUUGUUCGGAUUUACUGGGCGUAAAGGGCUCGUAGGCGGCCAACUAAGUCAGACGUGAAAUCCCUCGGCUUAACCGGGGAACUGCGUCUGAUACUGGAUGGCUUGAAGUUGGGAGAGGGAUGCGGAAUUCCAGGUGUAGCGGUGAAAUGCGUAGAUAUCAGGAGGAACACCCGUGGCGAAAGCGGCUCUCUGGGACGGUACUGACGCUGAGACGCGAAAGCGUGGGGAGCGAACAGG